rnacentral:rRNA from 1 species
UACGUAGGGGGCGAGCGUUGUCCGGAUUUAUUGGGCGUAAAGAGCGUGUAGGCGGUUCGGUAAGUCUGUCGUGAAAUCCUGAGGCUCAACCUCGGGCGUGCGAUGGAUACUGCCGGGCUAGAGGAUGGUAGAGGCGAGUGGAAUUCCCGGUGUAGCGGUGAAAUGCGUAGAUAUCUGGAGGAACAUCGGUGGCGAAGGCGGCAUCCUGGACCGGUAUUGACGCUGAGGCGCGAAAGCCAGGGGAGCAAACGGG